AGAGUUUGAUCAUGGCUCAGGGGAAUUGACGGAAACUCAAAGGAAUUGACGG
rnacentral:rRNA from 1 species